GCUGAACAAAAGACAGCAGUUUCCCUUAGAAAACUUGAGUCUAGCAGGAGAUCUUCAGCCAUCAAAUCGGUUGACUUCACACAAAUCUCCACUUCGCAUCUGAUUAGACAAGACGUGGCGCUACCGCGUCUGCUCCCGCUGUGGGCCAGGGUAGGAGGAGGAAGGACUCAGUUGUUGAAGGAAGGCUCUGAAUAUAGUUGCUACAGGUUUCCCUGAAGAUGACCGGUGGCCUUGGCCUGUACUUCCUGGUGUUGAAUUCAUGACCUCAUUUCCCUGAUCCCCCACCCACUUUGUAGCCCAGGCUGGGAGCACAUAGGUAUCGAUGUUGAAUCCAUAAAUUCAACACAGACAUGUAUGGGGAUGGCCGCAUAGGGUUAAGGGUGGUGACUAGGUAAAAGAGCAUGGAUCUGGGGGCCAGCAGAUUUAGUUCCAAUCUCAGCUCUAACAUUGAAAGCUGAACUCUGCAGUGCCUCAGUUUACCUAAUUGUAAUAUGAGCCCAUUAUGCCAAAAUCCUAAGGUUGGAGGAGUAAAUGUGAUCAUGUACCUCACAUAAUGCCUGGCACAGGGACAUUUUUGUUCCUUCAUCUGUGUGCUUAUUGCUUAUUCAUGUCAGACUCUUUGCGACCCCAUGGACUAUAGCUUGCCAGGCCCCUCUGGGGGAGGUGGAAUUCCCUGUCCAUGGAAUUCUCCAGGCAAGAAUACUGAAGUGGGUUGCCACAUCCUCCAGGGGAAUCUUCCUGACCCAAGGAUCAAACCAGAAUCUCUCACAUCUCCUGCAUUAUCAGGCGGACUUCUUACCACUAAUGCCUCAUGG
ensembl:lncRNA